GUAAUGUGAGAUCAACAGCUCCUCUGGGACUGUGGUUUGCGUGAAUACUUACAUAUUUGUUCAUUUCCAUCAGUUGCUACCUUUUUUCCAAGCUCUUACAAUGCAAAUGAUUAUGUACAUGCACUUUCUGGUUCCACACUUCUGACAACGAUGAGAGAGUCUGGUCUCACUUGCUCACAGGCCCCAAGGACAGAGGCCUCGCACCCAGACCUUCAGACCAGAGUUCUGAGUUGAAAGGGCUGCCCAGUACCUCAGCACCAAGCACAGCACUGCUAUUCAAGAUGGCAGCAGCUAAUGCAGAGACGCUGCCCGAGGCAUUGUGGUCCAGAGCCGGGAACUGGGCCCCAACCCCGCCCGCUCCCAGCUGGCAGGAUCUAUAAAGCAGCCCCACCUGUCUGAGAGACCGUGGACUCUAGAUCCAGAGCUCACAUCUUUUGGUUUUUUGAUCAAAGAAUAGUUUUUUCUUUGCUUCUAAACCAAACUCAGUCUCAUUCUGUUGGCUCUAAUGACACCAGUCAGGAGGAUCCUUAUUGGGGACUGACUUGGGAGGGCUGGCAACAAAACUGUGUUAUAAAAGAAAUUAGUCAGCGCAAGCAGACUUGGUCAGUAACAUUUUAUUUCCUGAUAAGGAGGACGGGGACCUGCUCUUGAGAAACACACUAAAAAAGCUGGGCCAAAAGACCCUGAAGCCAUUCAGAGGCGUUCACGCUCCAGCAGGAGUGGGGCCCGGGCCAUGCUGGUUUCAAGUUCCUCAUUGCUACAUAAAUGGCCAAAGGAAACAUUAUCCAAGUUUCACAUCAAAGGCUAAUGGCAGGCUGAUUUUCCUUUUAAUCUGUCCAAUAAGCAAGUGGGGAUUAGACAAUGUACAUGCUUAGGAAGACGACUUCAUGCUGCUCGAGUGGACUUGCCCAUGCUCUCGUCUCCAGCCUGUCCGCACUAAGGAGCAGGUGUGUGUGAACAGGGUGGCAUAGAAAAUCUCUAUAGAAUGUCUGAACAACAUACUAAAUAAAUGGAGCUGAAACCUGGGGAACAGUUGGAGCUGCAAUCAUCCCCUUUACUCCCAGCUGGCUUUAGGAAUUCAGAUGAGGUCCACCUCUGGGAAAGGAGGCCUCCCAGAAACCACAGGAAACCUGUCCUAAAUACCCAGGGUCUACAUGAUGGCUCAACACUGCAUGAGAAAUGAUGGCUUCUGACGUCCUGGAUUGAUC
ensembl:lncRNA